AUAUUUGAUAGACCCGAAAGGCAAUUUCCCAUGGGGACCCAGUGAAGAAGGAAGAUCAAUGUGUACUCGCUGGGCUGCCCUGUGCAGCUCGUCCACUCCCAUUUCAUCUCCAUGCCGCCUUGCAGUGGAGGGAUGGCAGACGGUGGACACCAAGGGAGCCAGACUGCCUGGGUUUGACUCCCAGUAAGUCAGUUUCCCCACCUCUAAAUUAGAGAUGAAAUAACUGAAGCCCGGAGAGAUGAAAAGUCAACGAAGAUCAUACAGCCAGUAAGUGGUGAGGAUAAAAUUCUGAAUCAAACUGUC